AGUGGAUGGGGAGCAACCUAGUUGUGCGUGUGUAAAGGUAGUGCCAAGAAAAGCGAUGAUCAUGUUGAAAAUCAAUUCCCGGUACCCGAAACCGACACAGGUGGGCAAGUAGAGAAUACUAAGGGGCGCGAGGUAACUCUCUCCAAGGAACUCGGCAAAAUGGCCCCGUAACUUAGGGAGAAGGGGUGCCACCGAGAGGUGGUCGCAGUGAAGAGGCCCAGGCGACUGUUUAGCAAAAACAUAGGUCUCUGCAAACUCGAAAGAGGAGGUAUAGGGGCUGACGCCUGCCCAGUGCCGGAAGGUUAAAGAAGUUGGUCAGUUUUAGGAUGAAGCUAGCGACUGAAGCCCCGGUGAACGGCGGCCGUAACUAUAACGGUCCUAAGGUAGCGAAAUUCCUUGUCGGGUAAGUUCCGACCCGCACGAAAGGCGUAACGAUCUGGGCGCUGUCUCGGAGAGAGGCUCGGCGAAAUAGGAUUGUCUGUGAAGAUACGGACUACCUGCAUUUGGACAGAAAGACCCUAUGAAGCUUUACUAUAGCUUGGAAUUGUGUUCGGGCUUCCUGUGCGCAGUAUAGGUGGGAGGCGUAGAAGGUAUUCUUGUGGGGAUACUGGAGCCAACGGUGAGAUACCACUCUCAGGAGGCUAGAAUUCUAACUUAAUUAAGGACAGUUUCAGGUGGGUAGUUUGACUGGGGCGGUCGCCUCCAAAAAGGUAACGGAGGCGUACAAAGGUUCCCUCAGACUGGUUGGAAAUCAGUCGAAGAGUGCAAAGGCAGAAGGGAGCUUGACUGCGAGAAGUACAGUUCGAGCAGGGUGGAAACACGGUCUUAGUGAUCCGACGGUGCUGUGUGGAAGGGCCGUCGCUCAACGGAUAAAAGUUACUCUAGGAUAACAGGCUGAUCUCCCCCAAGAGUUCACAUCGACGGGGAGGUUUGGCACCUCGAUGUCGGCUCAUCGCAACCUGGGGCGGAAGUACGUCCCAAGGGUUGGGCUGUUCGCCCAUUAAAGCGGUACGUGAGCUGGGUUCAGAACGUCGUGAGACAGUUCGGUCCAUAUCCGAUGUAGGCGUGAGAAUAUUGAGAGGAGCCUUCCUUAGUACGAGAGGACCGGGAAGGACGCACCGCUGGUGUACCUGUUAUGAUGCCAAUUGUAAACGCAGGGUAGCCAAGUGCGGAGAGGAUAACCGCUGAAAGCAUCUAAGUGGGAAGCCCACCUCAAGAUGAGUAUUCUGGUGUAAGGUCACGGGAAGACGACCCGUAAAUAGGCACGAGGUGGAAGUGCAGAGAUGUAUGAAGCCGAAGUGUACUAAUAGACCGUCGGCUUGACC
rnacentral:rRNA from 1 species